rnacentral:siRNA from 1 species
UAACUUACGUGGAUAAACUUGUCC